rnacentral:rRNA from 1 species
AUUGAACGCUGGCGGCAUGCUUUACACAUGCAAGUCGGACGGCAGCACAGAGAAGCUUGCUUCUUGGGUGGCGAGUGGCGAACGGGUGAGUAACAUAUCGGAACGUACCGAGCAGUGGGGGAUAACUAAUCGAAAGAUUAGCUAAUACCGCAUAUAUUCUGAGGAAGAAAGCAGGGGACCAUUUGGCCUUGCGCUGUUUGAGCGGCCGAUAUCUGAUUAGCUAGUUGGUGGGGUAAAGGCCUACCAAGGCGACGAUCAGUAGCGGGUCUGAGAGGAUGAUCCGCCACACUGGGACUGAGACACGGCCCAGACUCCUACGGGAGGCAGCAGUGGGGAAUUUUGGACAAUGGGCGCAAGCCUGAUCCAGCCAUGCCGCGUGUCUGAAGAAGGCCUUCGGGUUGUAAAGGACUUUUGUCAGGGAAGAAAAGGGCGGGGUUAAUACCCCUGUCUGAUGACGGUACCUGAAGAAUAAGCACCGGCUAACUACGUGCCAGCAGCCGCGGUAAUACGUAGGGUGCGAGCGUUAAUCGGAAUUACUGGGCGUAAAGCGGGCGCAGACGGUUACUUAAGCAGGAUGUGAAAUCCCCGGGCUCAACCUGGGAACUGCGUUCUGAACUGGGUGACUAGAGUGUGUCAGAGGGAGGUAGAAUUCCACGUGUAGCAGUGAAAUGCGUAGAGAUGUGGAGGAAUACCGAUGGCGAAGGCAGCCUCCUGGGAUAACACUGACGUUCAUGCCCGAAAGCGUGGGUAGCAAACAGGAUUAGAUACCCUGGUAGUCCACGCCCUAAACGAUGUCGAUUAGCUGUUGGGCAGCAUGACUGCUUAGUAGCGAAGCUAACGCGUGAAAUCGACCGCCUGG